UGCCCAGUUGUUGUGUGGCCGGCACGCAACUCUUACUUCGUGCGAUAAGUACUAAUACUUAAAAGGAUAUUCGUGUUUCGUGUUGUAAAUUCGUUAUAUCGCGUUAUAUUUGCUGGAAUUUAGUGUUAAUAGACGGGUAUUAGUCGCUAAAUAUUUAUCGCGUGUAUAAUCUUCGGAAUUCAAUGUUUUCUGUGUUUAAUACAGUUUCGCGUGUAUCUGGGAUCGCUUGCCGUCGGACGCCAGUCGGCCAUGUUGUGUGAUUGUAAAUAAUAUUUUGGAGUUGUGCGAACCAUUUUUGUCUUCAGCAGAACACGACGGGCGGCUGUUCUACCUGUAUCUACUCGCAUUUGAUUUACCGUGUUCGAUACACUGUACUUGCUGUGCCCUAUCUAAGCUAAUAACCACUGCAUUGUACUUGCUGUGCCCUAUCUUAGCUAAUAACCACUGCAUUGGUAAGUUUUUAUUAAGUUGUAUUAUUCGGUCAAAUGUUUUAUGACCUGCGUCUUGCAAUAUUUUAAUUGCGGGUAAUAUAGAAAAUGAAGGAAACGACAAAAUUUGCCCUUUUCUUGCAAUUUUCAAAACACGCGGUGGAAAACAGGCUAUAUCUCGGGAACCCUACGUCAAAUUUUAGUUAUUUCGCGAUUUUAUUAUAGAGUAAGAGUGCAUUUUAAGAUGCACCCUUGAACCCCCCGCAAAAUUCUGUCGUAACUGCCUCAAAAUGGACGCUAAAGUUUGCCAUUUUCUUGCAAUUUUCAAAACACGCGGUGGAAAACUGGCUAUAUCUCGGGAAUCCUUCGUCAUAUUAAAGUUACUUCUCGAUUUUAUUAUAGAGUAAGAGAGCAUUUUUAAGAUGCGCCCCUAAACCCCCGCGAAAUUCGGUCGCAACUGCCACAACAUGGCUGCGAAAGUUUGCCCUCUUCUUGCAAUUUUCAAAACACGCGAUGGAAAACUGGCCAUAUCCCGGGAACCCUUUGUCAUAUUUUAGUUAUUUUUCGAUUUUAUUAUAGGGUAAGAGCGCAUUUUCAAAAUGCACCUCUGAACCCUCGAAAAAUUUUGUCGUAACUGUCUCAAAAUGGACGCUAAAGUUUGCGCCUUUCUUGCGAUUUUCAAAACACGCGGAGGAAAACUGGCCAUAUCUCGGGAACCCUUUAUCAUAUUUUAGCUAUUUGUCCAUUUUAUCAUGGGAUAAGAGUGCAUUUUUAAGAUGCACCCUUGAACCACCGCGAAAUUAGGUCGUACCUGCUUCAAAAUGGCCGCUAAUGUUUGCCCUUUCCUUUCAAUUUUCAAAACACGCGGUGGAACACUGGCCA